rnacentral:rRNA from 1 species
CAAUAAGCGGAGGAAAAGAAACCAACAGGGAUUGCCUUAGUAACGGCGAGUGAAGCGGCCAAAGCUCAAAUUUGAAAUCGGCCACCAGGUCGAGUUGUAAUUUGUAGAUUGUAUCUUGAGAGCGGAUUAAAGUCUGUUGGAACACAGCGCCUUAGAGGGUGACAGCCCCGUAAAAUCUAUUCUCAUUGUAAGAUACUUUCGAAGAGUCGAGUUGUUUGGGAAUGCAGCUCUAAGUGGGAGGUAAAUUCCUUCUAAAGCUAAAUAUUGACGAGAGACCGAUAGCGAACAAGUACUGUGAAGGAAAGAUGCAAAGCACUUUGAAAAGAGAGUGAAAAAGUACGUGAAAUUGUUAAAAGGGAAGGGUAUUGAAUCAGACUUGGUGCUGUUGUUCAACUGUGUUUCGGCAUAGUGUACUCAGCAGUACUAGGCCAAGGUGGGGUGUUUGGGAGUGAAAAAGAAGUUGGAACGUAACUCUUCGGAGUGUUAUAGCCUACUUUCAUAGCUCCUCAGGCGCCUCAGGACUGCGCUUCGGCAAGGAGCCUUGGCAUAAUCGAUAGUAUACUGCCCGUCUUGAAAG